GCCCAGAUAACUCAGUUGGCAGAGCACCAGGCUGAAGACCUGGGGGUUCUCAGUUCGAAUCUGAGUCCGGGCA